rnacentral:rRNA from 1 species
UACGUAGGGUGCUAGCGUUGUCCGGAAUCACUGGGCGUAAAGGGCGCGUAGGCGGCUCAUGAAGGCUGUGGUGAAAGUCCGGGGCUCAACCUCGGAUCGGCCGUGGCGACUCGUGGGCUGGAGCACUGUAGAGGCGGGUGGAAUUCCGGGUGUAGCGGUGGAAUGCGUAGAGAUCCGGAAGAACACCAGUGGCGAAGGCGGCCCGCUGGGCAGUGGCUGACGCUGAGGCGCGAAAGCGUGGGGAGCAAACAGG